UACGGAGGGUGCAAGCGUUGUCCGGAAUCACUGGGUGUAAAGGGUGUGUAGGCGGGACAGUAAGUCAGAGGUGAAAUCCUGCGGCUUAACCGUAGAAUUGCCUUUGAUACUGCUGUUCUUGAGUCCUGGAGAGGUCGUUAGAAUUCGUGGUGUAGCGGUGAAAUGCGUAGAUAUCACGAGGAAUACCAGAGGUGUAGACGGACGACUGGACAGGUACUGACGCUGAGGCACGAAAGCGUGGGGAGCAAACAGG
rnacentral:misc_RNA from 1 species